rnacentral:rRNA from 1 species
UAACGCGUGGGUAACCUGCCCUGUACACACGGAUAACAUACCGAAAGGUAUGCUAAUACGAGAUAAAGUACUUUUAUCGCAUGGUAGAAGUAUCAAAGCUUUUGCGGUACAGGAUGGACCCGCGUCUGAUUAGCUAGUUGGUGAGGUAACGGCUUACCAAGGCGACGAUCAGUAGCCGACCUGAGAGGGUGAUCGGCCACAUUGGAACUGAGACACGGUCCAAACUCCUACGGGAGGCAGCAGUGGGGAAUAUUGCACAAUGGGCGAAAGCCUGAUGCAGCAACGCCGCGUGAGCGAUGAAGGCCUUCGGGUCGUAAAGCUCUGUCCUCAAGGAAGAUAAUGACGGUACUUGAGGAGGAAGCCCCGGCUAACUACGUGCCAGCAGCCGCGGUAAUACGUAGGGGGCUAGCGUUAUCCGGAAUUACUGGGCGUAAAGGGUGCGUAGGUGGUUUCUUAAGUCAGAGGUGAAAGGCUACGGCUCAACCGUAGUAAGCCUUUGAAACUGGGAAACUUGAGUGCAGGAGAGGAGAGUGGAAUUCCUAGUGUAGCGGUGAAAUGCGUAGAUAUUAGGAGGAACACCAGUUGCGAAGGCGGCUCUCUGGACUGUAACUGACACUGAGGCACGAAAGCGUGGGGAGCAAACAGGAUUAGAUACCCUGGUAGU